rnacentral:rRNA from 1 species
GUCUACAGCCAUGCCACCUCAAAUGCGCCUGAUCUCAGAAGCCAAGCAGGGUUGGGCCUGGUUAGUACUUGGACGGGAGAGGGGUCUCACUCUUGUCA